rnacentral:lncRNA from 1 species
UUCACAUUACGGUAUUUCAGACAAAUACAGACUCAUUCUCUCUGCUGAAUUACAAUCAGAUUUCAGCAUUCAAUCUUUCUUCUUCUCAAAUAAUACCAAUCACAUUUCCAUUCUAUAAUUUACUUCACAAUAUUCAGAAACUCUCAAUCUUCUUAUUCAAAGAAAUUAACAAACAAAAGAAAAGAGGUAGCACCAAGCUUACCUCGGCUCACAACUAUCAUAGCGAUGGCACCUUAAUUAACUUCUACAAC